rnacentral:rRNA from 1 species
AACGAACGCUGGCGGCAUGCCUAACACAUGCAAGUCGAACGAGACCUUCAGGUCUAGUGGCGCACGGGUUCGUAACGCGUGGGAACCUGCCCUUAUGUUCGGAAUAACUCCCCGAAAGGGGUGCUAAUACCGGAUAAUGUCUUCGGACCAAAGAUUUAUCGCCUUUGGAUGGGCCCGCGUUGGAUUAGCUAUUUGGUAGGGUAAAAGCCUACCAAGGCGACGAUGCAGAGCUUACCUGAGAGGAUGAUCAGCCACACUGGGACUGAUACACGGCCCAGACUCCUACGGGAGGAAGCAGUAGGGAAGCUUCCGCAAUGGGCGAAAGCCUGACGGAGCAACGCCGCGUGAGGGAGGAAGGUCUUCGGAUCGUAAAACUCGGUUAUUAGGGAAGAACAAAGGGGUAAGUAACUAUGCACGUCUUGACGGUACCUAAUCAGAAAGCCACGGCUAACUACGUG